rnacentral:rRNA from 1 species
UGGGGAAUAUUGCACAAUGGAGGGAACUCUGAUGCAGCGACGCCGCGUGAACGAAGAAGGCUUUCGCGUCGUAAAGUUCUUUUAUAUGGGAAGAUAAUGACGGUACCAUAAGAAAAAGCCCCGGCUAACUACGUGCCAGCCGCCGCUGUAAUACGUAGGGGGCUAGCGUUGUCCGGAAUCACUGGGCGUAAAGGGUUCGCAGGCGGAAAUGCAAGUCAGGUGUAAAAGGCAGUAGCUUAACUACUGUAAGCAUUUGAAACUGCAUAUCUUGAGAAGAGUAGAGGUAAGUGGAAUUGUUAGUGUAGCGGUGAAAUGCGUAGAUAUUAAAAAGAAUACCGGUGGCGAAGGCGACUUACUGGGCUCAUUCUGACGCUGAGGAACGAAAGCGUGGGUAGCAAACAGG